rnacentral:rRNA from 1 species
AGCUCCAAAAGCGUAUAUUAAAGUUGUUGCGGUUAAAAAGCUCGUAGUUGGAUCUGCGCUCUAGGUUUGCGGUCCCCUAAAUGGGAGGUACUGCUUUACCUGGGCUAUUUUAUCUGGUUUUCCCUUUGUGCUCUUUACCGAGUGCUCUGGGUGACUGGAAUUUUUACUUUGAAAAAAUUAGAGUGCUCAAAGCAGGCGGUCAGCCUGAAUAGUGGUGCAUGGAAUAAUGGAAUAGGACUUCGGUUCUAUUUUGUUGGUUUUCGGAACUCGAAGUAAUGAUUAAGAGGGACAGACGGGGGCAUUCGUAUUGCGACGUUAGAGGUGAAAUUCUUGGAUCGUCGCAAGACGCACUACUGCGAAAGCAUUUGCCAAGAAUGUUUUCAUUAAUCAAGAACGAAAG